GGGCCCCUUCGCCUCCGCUCCGACCUGUGGGGCGGGGGCUGCAAGCGCCGCCGGUUUUCAGAUGAGGAAACUGAGGCGGACCGUUUGGCGGCUCACAGCGUUUACUGUGUUUUAUCAGGAGCAGGGAGGUGGAGGCCAAAAAGUGAAGCAGAAACUGGAAAGCCUGCCAGAGAGUGGGCUGGCACUGAAAGAGCGGCGAGGCUGGAAGACUGAGGGAAAGCUUCAAACUUAGCUAAAGACACUUGGAAAGAGAAGAGAAGACAAAAGAAAAGGAAAGGAGACAAGAGGAGAGAAGAAAAAGAAGA